AUACGUAGGGAGCGAGCGUUGUCCGGAAUUACUGGGCGUAAAGGGCGCGUAGGCGGCGCUUCAAGUCGUCUGUCAAAUGGGAGGACUUAACCCUUUUUCGCAGACGAAACUGGAGAGCUUGAGAAGCAGAGAGGCAAACAGAAUUCCUGGUGUAGCGGUGAAAUGCGUAGAUAUCAGGAAGAAUACCAGUGGCGAAGGCGGUUUGCUGGCUGCAUACUGACGCUGAAGCGCGAAAGCCAGGGGAGCAAACGGGAUUAGAUACCCCGGUAGUCCUGGCAGUAAACGAUGUAUGCUGGGUGUGAGACUAGCGAUAGUUUCGUGCCGAAGUUAACGCGAUAAGCAUACCGCCUGGGGAGUACGGUCGCAAGAUUGAAACUCAAAUGAAUUGGCGGGG
rnacentral:rRNA from 1 species